rnacentral:rRNA from 1 species
CUACGGAAGGUCCGGGCGUUAUCCGGAUUUAUUGGGUUUAAAGGGUGCGUAGGCGGGAAGUCAAGUCUGUGGUGAAAAGUCCGGCCUAACCUGGAUCGUGCCAUGGAAACUGUCUUUCUUGAAUAGUGGUGCCGUUGGCGGAAUGUGAAGUGUAGCGGUGAAAUGCUUAGAUAUUACACAGAACACCGAUUGCGAAAGCAGCUGACGAACCACCGAUUGACGCUGAUGCACGAAAGUGCGGGUAUCGAACAGGAUUAGAUACCCUGGUAGUCCGCACAGUAAACGAUGACAACUGGCUGUUGGCGAUAAACCGAUCAGUAGCGUAGCGAAAGCGUUAAGUUGUCCACCUGGGGAGUACGACCGCAAGGUUGAAACUCAAAUGAAUUGACGGGG